rnacentral:rRNA from 1 species
UGUUAAGCCGACUAAGCGUACACGGUGGAUGCCCCGGCAGUCGUAGAGGCGAUGAAGGCGCUAAUCUGCGAUGUAAGCGCCGGUAAGGUGAUAUGAACCGUUAUAACCGGCGAUGUUCCCGAAUGGGAAAACCCAGUGCAUUCCGUCACACCAUCAUUAACUGAAUCCAUAGGUUAAUGAGGCGAACCGGGGAACUGAAACAUCUAAGUACCCCGAGAAAAGAAAUAACCGGAGAUUCCAGUAAAGCGGCGAGCGAACGUGGGGAGGAGCCCAGAGCCUGAAUCAGCAUGUGUGUUAGUGGAAGCGUCUGAAGGCGCGCGAUACAGGUGACAACAGCCCCGUACACAAAAAAGCGCAUGUGCUGUGAGCUCGAUGAGUAGGGCGGGACACGUGGUAUCCUGUCUGAAUAUGGGGACCCAACCUCCGCCAAAUACCCUGACUGACCGAUAGUGAACCAGUACCGUGGAGGGAAAGGCGAAAAGAACCCCGGCGAGGGGAGUGAAAAGAACCUGAAAACCGUGUACGCACAAGUAGUGGAGCCCCACCAAUAAAGUUGCUCGCUUUGUGGUGCACAAAGAAGGUAACGACAGCACUGAACAUGGUUGCCAACGGAGCGCAAGCGACGUUCAACAUACAAAGUCAAGAAGAGCGCUUUGGGGUGGGGGUGAUUGCGUACCUUUGUAUAAUGGGUCAUGACUUAUAUUCUGUAGCAAGUUAACCGAAUAGGAGCUGGAGGGAAACUGAGUCUUGGGCAACCGGGCGUUAAGUUGCAGGGUAUAGACCCGAAACUCCGGUGAUUCCAGCCAUGGGCAGGUUGAAGGUUAAAAACACUCAACUGGAGGACCGAACCGACUAAUGUUGAAAAUUAGCGGAUGACCUGUGGCUGGGGGUGAAAGGCCAAUCAAACGGGAGAUAGCUGGUUCUCCCGAAAGCUAUUUAGUAGCGCCUCGUGAAUUCAUCUCCGUGGGGUAGAGCACUGUUUCGGCUAGGCCAUCCCGGCUUACCAACCCGAUGCAAACUGCGAAUACCGGAGAAUAUCACGGGAGACACACGGCGGGUGCUAACGUCCGUCGUGAAGAGGGAAACAACCCAGACCGCCAGCUAAGGUCCCAAAGUCAUGGUUAAGUGGGAACGAUGGGAAGGCCCAGACAGCCGUGAUGCUGGCUUAGAAGCAGCCAUCAUUUGCCAGAAAGCGUACAGCUCACCGGUCGAGUCGGCCUGCGCGGAAGAUGCCGUAACGGGCUAAACCAUGCACCGAAGCUGCGGCAGCGACGCUUAUGCGUUGUUGGGUAGGGGAGCGUUCUGUGCUUCCGUGAAGGUGGCCUGUGAGGCUGCUGGAGGUAUCGAAGUGCGAAUGCUGACAUAGUAACGAUAAAGCGGGUGAAAAGCCCGCUCGCCGGAAGACCAAGGGUUCCCGUCCAACGUUAAUCGGGCAGGGUGAGUCGACCCCUAAGGCGAGCCGAAAGGCGUAGUCGAUGGGAAACGGGUUAAUAUUCCCGUACUUGGUGUUACUGCGAAGGGGGACGGAGAAGGUUAUGUUGGCCGGGCGACGGUUGUCCCGGUUUAAGCGUGUAGGUGUGUGUUCCGCAAAUCCGGUUCACUUUAACAUUGAGGCGUGAUGACGAGGUACCGCUGGUGCUGAAGGCAACAAAUGCCCCUGCUUCCAGAAAGCCUCCUAAGCAUCAGGUGUAACAUCAAAUCGCACCCCAAACCGACACAGGUGGUCAGGGUAGAGAAUACCAAGGCGCUUGAGAGUAAACUUCCGGUGAAGGAACUAGCAAAAUGGUGCCGCAACUUCGGGAGAAGGCACGCUGAUAUGUAGGUGAAGCGGUUUACCCGUGGAGCUGAAAUCAGUCGAAGAUACCAGCUGGCUGCAACUGUUUAUUAAAAACACAGCACCAGCAAACACGAAAGUGGACGUAUACGGUGUGACGCCCGCCCGGUGCCGGAAGGUUAAUUCGAUGGGGUCAGCGCAAGCGAAGCUCCUGAUCGAAGCCCCGGCGCUGGGUAAACGGCGGCCGUAACUAUAACGGUCCUAAGGUAGCGAAAUUCUUUGUCGGGUAAGUUCCGACCUGCACGAAUGGCGUAAUGAUGGCUGUGCCGUUCCACCCGAGACCCAGUGAAAUUGAACUCGCUGUGAAGAUGCAGUGUACCCGCGGCAAGACGGAAAGACCCCGUAAACCUUAAUAUAGCUUCGGACACUGAACAUUGAGCCUUGAUGUGUAGGGAUAGGUGGGAGGUUUUUGAGCGUGGACGCCAGUCUGCGGAGCCGACCUUUGAAAUACCACCCUUAAUGUUUGAUGUUCAACGUGACCCGUGAUCCGGGUUGCGGACAGUGUCUGGUGGGUAGUUUGAUUGGGGGCGGUUCUCCUAAAGAGUAACGGAGUGAGCACGAAGGUUGGCUAACUUCCGGUCGGACAUCAGGAGGUUAGUGCACGGCAUGUUUCAGCUUGACUGCGAGCGUGACGGCGAGCAGGUGCGAAAGCAGGUCAUAGUGAUCCGGUGGUUCUGAAUGGAAGGGCCAUCGCUCAACGGAUAAAAGGUACCCGGGGAUAACAGGGCUGAUACCGCCUUAAGAGUUCAUAUCGACGGCGGUGUUUGGCACCUCGAUGUCGGCUCAUCACAUCCGGGGCUGAAGUAGGUCCCGCGGUAUGGCUGUUCGCCAUUUAAAGUGGUACGCGAGCUGGGUUUAGAACGUCGAGACAGUUCGUCCCUAUUCGCCGUGGGCGCUGGAGAAACUGGAGGGGGCUGCUCCGCACGAGAGGACCGGAGUGGACGUAUCACUGGUGUUCGGGUUGUCAAGCCAAUGGCACUGCCCGGUAGCUAAAUGCGGAAGAGAUAAGUGCUGAAAGCAUCUAAGCACGAAACUUGCCCCGAGAUGAGUUCUCCUGAGACUUUAGGUCUCCUGGAAGGAACGUUGAAGACGACGACGUUGAUAGGCCGGGUGCGUAAGCGCAGCGAUGCGUUGAGCUAACCGGGGUACUCACGAACCGUGAGGCUUAACUCU